UUCCCUUUGUUAUUACAUAAUUUUAUUUUAUAUUGAAAAAUUAUAAGAUUUUUUUUUUUUACUUUUAUGAUACAAUAAAACUAAAUGAAGCAUUUUCAUCUAAAAAAAGACUAAAAUAUUUUCUCCAUGUUGAAUUCUUAAGUAGAGUACUAUUUACUCAUGAAAAUAUGAGUAAAUAUGGGUAAACUAGUAUUUUACCCAACCAAUUUCAUACCCAAUCCAUUUUUACCUAUAUCAAAUAUGAGCGGGUUGAAUUAUUACUCAUUUUAUGUUGACCCAUUUUCAACCCGCCCAAAUUUUACCCAAC
rnacentral:lncRNA from 1 species